AAGCCAGAAAGGCGUCGUUUUAGCGUAAAUCUUAGACAUAUGAGUAUAAUCUUGGAUACGAGAGAACGAAGAUUUUAUAGAAACGUGCACAGCACAAGUAGUUAAUUCUCCACGUACUUAUUAAUUCUACAUAUUAGUUUGAUUAAAGUGAAAAUAUUUAUGUAUAUUACAUAAAUGUAUAAAUGAUUAUCAAUGAUUAUUUGUAUCAAAGGUUUUGGACAAGUCGAGAACAUUUAAUAAUCACAUCUAUGGCUACUGAUAUUUGUUUACUUCCUUUAUCAGACAACUGAUGGUGAACUGCAACUAAAUACAAUUUUAUUAGCCUGAAAUAGACAAAAAUUUUAUAAAGACUAUAAGAACAUAUUUCACAUACUAUAUAAUAUGAUAGGAUAAUUUUAAUAAUUUAAUAAUUUGAAAAUUUGCUUAUUCUACUUACAUUGGGAUGCAAUUGUUCAAUUGAUUGAAACAAUUAAGGAAAUUUUAGUUUUUCAAAAUGUGUGAUUGCCAUCAAACUAGUAAAGAGAGACUUGUUAUAUAUUCUUUGAAAGUGAUGUUCUCAUAUAUGUGUAAAUCUCUGUAUGUUAAGAGCCAUUAAAUCUUUUCUUGAUAAUUCAAGAGAUAUCCAAAUAAAUUACCUCGUAAAUCUUCUAUCACCUUAUGAUCUUCUUUUUCACUUAAUUGGAUAGCCAUUCCUAUUAUUAAUUUAUCUAUAUUUAACUUAUCAUCUAAUUUGAAUUGGUUUUGGAAUAAACCAUUCUAGAAAAAAAUUUUAAUAUAAAAACAUAUUUCUAAUCAAAAUUGCUUUUUUAUAAUAAUACUUGUGACAUCCAAUAAUUGUUGCAUGUUCUAAUAGUUAGUGCAUUAAGUUCUAAUUUACAAUUAUUUCUUGUAUAAUCUCGUAAAUAAACAUCCAUUUUGAUGCAAAUGUGUAAUUAAUACAGUUUAUAUGUUUAAUGUAUGGAUAAUACAUGUAAUUAAUUGUACCUUUUUUUCGUUCUUUUAAUAUAUAAUUGUAUAAGAAUCUCUUAGUUAUAUGUGCACAUAAAAAGAUAUAUUCAUAAAAUUAAAUAUCAUAAUUUAUCUUUUUAAGUAGAAUUUCAAUUUUUUUUUGAGUAGGCCAUGAAUGAAAUAUUUUAAUAUUUUUUUGUUGAAUAUUAGUCAGUUAUUAUAUUUUGGAAUUCUUUUUAUAGUUAAUAUAUACAGUUUUUUGAACCUAUCAACUAAUACUAAAGUGUGACUAUAACGAAAGGUAGCUGUUUGAAAAAACUUAUCUAUUUUUGGAUCAAUAUUAGAAUUAUAACCUAUAAUAAAUAUAUAAUAAUGUUUUAGAAAGAUUUUAGCCUUAUAUUUCUAAAUAUAUACGGUAAUUAUUUUGUUUUUGUAGUAUAUACUUUUGUAUUAUUAUCUAACACUAAUUCUUAGUAUUUUUAUUCCUAUUGUAUUCUGAAAGCUUUUCACCUAUCCACUCGGAUAACCAUUCAUUGGUAAUUAUAUGCUGUUGUGUUGCAAUUAUCUAUUUACGAAUUUCAUUGUAAAUUUUUUCAAUGUUCACUUUUUAUGUUUACUUCUUAUAAAGCUGGCUAUGUGAUUGUGUCAUAUAAAGCAAAUUAUUUCAAAUGUCAAAAGAAACGGAUUUUCAUUCCCCCUUGGAUUUCCUAAUUCUGGAAUAAAGAUUUAUGCAUAUAAAUUAUUAAAUAUUUCUACAAUGAUAACCAUUUAUUUUUUGAGACGAUCAUUACUAUCAGUGACAUCAUAUUUCUUAAAAAAAGGAUCUUCUAGAUCUGUUACUAAAAUGACUGUAAGAGAUGCGUUGAAUUUGGCUCUUGAUGAAGAAUUAGCACGAGAUGAAAAAGUAUUUAUUAUCGGAGAAGAAGUUGCACAAUUUGAUGGAGCAUAUAAAAUAACUAGAGGGCUUUGGAAAAAGUAUGGAGAUAAGAGAUUGAUUGAUACACCAAUAUCUGAGGCAGGUUUCUGUGGUAUAGCUGUUGGAGCUGCAAUAGCAGGAUUAAGACCAAUUUGUGAAUUUAUGACAUUCAAUUUUUCAAUGCAAGCUAUCGAUCGAAUAAUAAAUGCAGCUGCUAAAAAUUGUUAUAUGACUUCAGGAAGAUAUCCUGUAUCUAUAGUAUUUCGUGGUCCAAAUGGUAAUGCUAAAGGAUUGGGAGCUCAACAUUCACAGUGUUUUGCAGCUUGGUAUAUGAGUACUCCUGGCUUAAAAGUUAUGUCUCCUACAAGUUGUGAAGAUUAUAGAGGUAGUUUAAAAGCUGCUGUAAGGGAUCCUGAUCCUGUCUUAAUCUUGGAAAGUGAACUUCUUUAUAAUUUUGAAUUUCCUCUAUCGGAUGAAGCUAUGGACAAAGAUUUUGUUAUACCUAUUGGUAAAGCAAAAAUUGAAAAAUCUGGGAAACAUAUUACAUUAAUUACUCAUGGUCAAGCAACAGUAUAUACUAUACAAGCAGCCGAAAUUUUAGCAGGGCAGGGAAUUGAUGCUGAAGUCAUUAAUCUACGUUCUCUCAGACCUCUUGAUUGGGAGAUGAUUUUUAAAUCAAUCAGUAAAACACACAAAUUAAUGACAGUUGAAUUAGGUUGGCCUAGGUGUGGAGUAGGUUCAGAAAUUGUUGCAACUAUAAUGGAAAAUCCUGUCUUCUUUGAACUAGAUGCACCAGCAAUUCGUUGUACUGGAAUUGACGUUCCAAUGCCUUAUUCAGAAUCAAUUGAAUAUGAAUGUACCCCAAAAGAUCAUCAUAUAGCUGAAAUUGCUAAGAAAGUUUGUGGAAUGAAAAUUUGAGUAUUUUCAUAAUAUGUAAAGUUAUACUUAUUAAAGUAUCUAUCAAUUUUCUUUGUACAAUGUUGAGAAAUAUAUUUAUCAUGAUUGAUUGGAAGUGGUUUGAUUGUUAUUGGUAAUCUAAUUAUGUUAUUUUCUGGAUAUUUAUAUGAACUUGAUGAUGCAAGCAAACCAUUUUUAUCAAUAGUUCCAUUAGAAUAUAUUCUUAAAAUAUUAAAUCAUGCCUUAGAAGUAUCAAAUUAAUCUUCCAUCAAUAUAUUGUUAUUUCAUUGAGCUAUGGAAUAAUAGAAUAUUGUAUAAAUACAAUAACAUUUAAAAAAUUAUCUAUCAGUAUUAUAAUUGUUUAUUGUUUUAAAAAAAGUUUGAAAUAAUUAAACCUGUUGAUAUAGAUUAUUUGGAGGAUUUCCUGUAGAUUCAUCAUAACGUGUACGAAGUACACAUUAUGAUUAAGAUCCAAUUACUUAAUAAUUCCUUACUUAUUUUCAAUGGAUUUGGUCUGUUAAAGUCAGAAGGUUUAUAUACUUCAUCUUUAGAAGUGGCGGAAUAUCUUUUUAAAAGAGGUGUGUUAACUGCACCAAUUUCUGGCUGACCAAUAUUAUUAUACUAGUGAUCGUAUCCUACAUACUUAGUUGAACCUAGAUUGUGAUAAAUGAAUUUACAUUUAUAAUCAUUUAAUUUCCAAUAUCCAUUUUAUAAAAUCCAUAAAAGCAACUGGGACAUUAGACAAAGAACGAUUUACGUAUAUUAUGUAUUUUAAUUCUUUUUGAAUAUGAUAAAAGAAAGCAGGAAACCAUAAAAUAUUAAUAAAAUCUAGUAUAUAUUUUUUGGUGUACAGUUUAAAUAUUUAGGAGAUCAUGAAAUUUGAAUAUAAUGUAAAUUUAGAAUAAAACUUUCUAAAUAUUAUAUGUGUGAACAUGUAAAAUAUUUAAUACUAAUCUAAGCUAUAUGACCAUUAUA